rnacentral:rRNA from 1 species
AACGAACGCUGGCGGCAGGCUUAACACAUGCAAGUCGAACGCCCCGCAAGGGGAGUGGCAGACGGGUGAGUAACGCGUGGGAAUCUACCCUGAUCUGCGGGAUAGCUCCGGGAAACUGGAAUUAAUACCGCAUAUGUCCUGAGGAACAAGGAUUGAUCGGUUCAGGAUGAGCCCGCGUCCGAUUAGCUAGUUGGUGGGGUAAAGGCCUACCAAGGCGACGAUCGGUAGCUGGUCUAAGAGGAUGAUCAGCCACAUUGGGACUGAGACACGGCCCAAACUCCUACGGGAGGCAGCAGUGGGGAAUAUUGGACAAUGGGCGCAAGCCUGAUCCAGCCAUGCCGCGUGAGUGAUGAAGGUCUUAGGAUUGUAAAGCUCUUUCACCGGGGACGAUAAUGACGGUACCCGGAGAAGAAGCCCCGGCUAACUUCGUGCCAGCAGCCGCGGUAACAC